AGAGUUUGAUCAUGGCUCAGAACGAACGCUGGCGGCGUGCUUAACACAUGCAAGUCGCACGAGAAUUGGGGGCUUGCUCCCAUAGUAAAGUGGCGCACGGGUGAGUAAUACGUAGGUAAUCUACCUUCAAGCGGGGGACAACAUUUCGAAAGGAGUGCUAAUACCCCAUAAGACCACGGUUUCCACGGAAACAGUGGUAAAAGGUGACCUCUUCCUGAAAGUUACCGCUUAAAGAUGAGCCUGCGCACCAUUAGCUAGUUGGUGAGGUAAAAGCUCACCAAGGCUGAGAUGGUUAGCUGGUCUGAGAGGAUGACCAGCCACACUGGAACUGAAACACGGUCCAGACUCCUACGGGAGGCAGCAGUGGGGAAUAUUGCGCAAUGGGGGAAACCCUGACGCAGCAACGCCGCGUGAGUGAUGAAGGCCUUCGGGUUGUAAAGCUCUGUCAAGAUGGGAAGAAACACGGUUGGCUAAUAUCCAACCGUCUGACGGUACCAUCAAAGGAAGCACCGGCUAACUCCGUGCCAGCAGCCGCGGUAAGACGGAGGGUGCAAGCGUUGUUCGGAAUUACUGGGCGUAAAGGGCGUGUAGGUGCACAGCAAGUCGGAUGUGAAAUCCCGUGGCUCAACCAUGGAACUGCAUUCGAUACUGCUGAGCUGGAGUCCAGGAGAGGAAAGCGGAAUUCCCAGUGUAGAAGUGAAAUUCGUAGAUAUUGGGAGGAACACCAGUAGCGAAAGCGGCUUUCUGGCCUGGUACUGACACUGAGACGCGAAAGCGUGGGGAGCAAACAGGAUUAGAUACCCUAGUAGUCC
rnacentral:rRNA from 1 species